rnacentral:lncRNA from 1 species
CAGAAGCCCCUGGUUCUUGUCAAGACAUCACUGACAAGGGCUUCAAGCACUUUCUGGAUGCUGGACAUGGGAACAGGGCAACAUAGUCCAAGAAGCAAGAAGAAGGUGCAUACUUCAAGACAAACUCUGGGAUCAAUGGAAGAUCUCAGUGGACACCACAUUACUCUGUCUUAAGAGAAAUCUGCACCUCUAACCCCCACCCCACCCCAACUCCC